rnacentral:tRNA from 1 species
GCCUUUGUAGCUCAGGGGUAGAGCGCAUUCUUGGUAAGAAUGAGGUCAUGGGUUCAAUUCCCAUCAAAGGCUCUA